rnacentral:rRNA from 1 species
UGAGCAACCUACCCUUCACUUCGGGAUAAGCCUCGGAAACGGGGUCUAAUACCGGAUAUCACUGACUGCUUCAUGGCGGUUGGUUGAAAGUUCUGGCGGUGGGGGAUGGGCUCGCGGCCUAUCAGCUUGUUGGUGGGGUAAUGGCCUACCAAGGCGUCGACGGGUAGCCGGCCUGAGAGGGCGACCGGCCACACUGGGACUGAGACACGGCCCAGACUCCUACGGGAG